UGAUGACGAGACGCUAAGGCGUUGAAGCAGUGUAUGUCAGACUUCCAAGAAAAGCUCGCAAUGUCAUAAAUAAAUAAUGCCUGUACCAUAACCGACACAGGUGGGUAGGUAGAGUAUACUAAGGGGCGCGAGAUAACUCUCUCUAAGGAACUCGGCAAAAUGACUCCGUAACUUCGGGAGAAGGAGUGCCUUAUUUAUAAGGUUGCAAUAACAAGAUCCAAGCAACUGUUUAUCAAAAACACAGGUCUCCGCUAAGUCGUAAGACGAUGUAUGGGGGCUGACGCCUGCCCAGUGCCAGAAGGUUAAAGAAGUUGGUUAGUGUAUGCGAAGCUGAUGACUGAAGCCCUGGUGAACGGCGGCCGUAACAAUAACGGUCCUAAGGUAGCGAAAUUCCUUGUCGGGUAAGUUCCGACCCGCACGAAAGGCGUAAUGAUUUGGAUACUGUCUCGGAGAGAGGCUCGGUGAAAUAGACUUGUCUGUGAAGAUGCGGACUACCUGCACCAGGACAGAAAGACCCUAUGAAGCUUUACUGUAACUUGAAAUUGGAAUUGGACUUUGCUUGCGCAGUAUAGGUGGGAAGCGUUGAAGAUAUUCUUGCGGGAGUAUUGGAGCUAUCAGUGAGAUACCACUCUUGUAAUGUUAGAUUUCUAACUUUGAACCAUAAUCUGGUCAAAGAACAGUUUCAGGUGGGCAGUUUGACUGGGGCGGUCGCCUCCCAAAUGGUAACGGAGGCGUACAAAGGUUUCCUCUGAACGGAUAGAAAUCGUAUCUAGAGUGUAAAGGCAUAAGGAAGCUUGACUGUGAGACCUACAAGUCGAGCAUGGACGAAAGUCGGUCUUAGUGAUCUGACGGUACUGAGUGGAAAGGCCGUCACUCAACGGAUAAAAGUUACUCUAGGAUAACAGGCUGAUCUCCCCCAAGAGUUCACAUCGACGGGGAGGUUUGGCACCUCGAUGUCGGCUCAUCGCAUCCUGGGGCGGUAGUACGUCCCAAGGGUUGGGCUGUUCGCCCAUGAAAGCGGUACGCGAGCUGGGUUCAGAACGUCGUGAGACAGUUCGGUCCAUAUCCGGUGUAGGCGCUAGAAUAUUGAGAGGAGCCUUCUUUAGUACGAGAGGACCGAGAAGGACACACCGCUGGUGUACCAGUUAUCGUGCCAACGGUAAACGCUGGGUAGCUAUGUGUGGAGUGGAUAACCGCUGAAAGCAUCUAAGUGGAAAGCCCACCUCAAGAUGAGUAUUCUC
rnacentral:rRNA from 1 species